rnacentral:misc_RNA from 1 species
UGGUCACCCAGGCACCCACACGCAGCCGAUGGUGGUGUGCCACCGGCGAAGAGAUUCGGUGCCCCCUCCGUCCCCAGCACGGUGGCGCCCUGCAGCUGCAGUUGCAAGGGUUCACCUCUUCUCCCCAGUCCCCAUUCAUCUCUAUCAGUGCCAGAUGCCCAGGUCAGGUGCUAGCAAUGUUGUACGUGUCCUUAGCAACAGGGCGAGUUAUGAUCAAAUAUUCGUAGAAGAAGGAUGAAUUGUACUUUGUACACCCAAGUUAUUAAGUCUAGCUGAUCGAUCUUGACGAAGUCGACGACAAACUUGAGUUUCGCAGAUGCAAAAGGUACAUCAAGAUUCAAGACUGUGGUACUCUACUCUGAGAUAAGUGUCAUUCUGCACUCAGCGCUAAGCACCCUGCAGUCCUGCACUCACCGCAUGAAGAGCAACUGCAGACAGACUGAAAAUUGAAAUGCGCGACCAUUCGCUUUGCCGUAAGGCAGAAUUUGAGGCACUUUUGCUCAAAAAAAAAAAUGCAUCGACUGACUACAACGAGCAGAAUCCUCUAGUGUUGUUCGGUUCCUCUUUACACCGCAGGCGCGCGCAUACACCUGGCAGGAGGCGGGAGGGCAAGAAGAAACGACGCACGCGGUUCAGGUGAUGAAGCUAGCUAAUGGUGGCAGAGCGGAGACAGGUCCCAGAGCGAGUCGCAGGCGGAGGCGUCGAGCACCCGGUCGAAGUACUCCUGCAGGCCGUUCAUGGCGUACAGCGACGCCGAGAUGCGCCGCUCCACCUUGAUCCGCUCGAACUCGGCCAUCUCGGCGCCCGGUUCCUCCGUGGUGCCAGCAGCUGGGACGGCGCUGUCGACGGCCGCGAAGCUGUCCAGCGCCGGGAACGCCGAGUCGAACAUCCAAGAGUCGAACUCCUCCUCGGUGCCCGCGGUGGCGAACCCCGGCCGGUACACCUCGCCGGCGUCCAGUGCGCCGGUGCCGCCGCCCUGCGUGGCCAUGUCGUCGUCGCAGCUGACUGCGCUGCUGGAGCUGGAGCUGCUGCUGCUGCUGGUGGUGGUGGUGGUGAUGCUAGAGCCACCACCACGAGCACUAUUCGUGCUAUGACUAUUGCUGUUGCUGUUGCUUGUGGUGGAUGCAGGGGAGCUCGACGACGCCUGCUGCUUGGCGGCUGCGGCGGCGGCCUUGGCCUUCUUGAUCUUCUUGUGGUGGAGGAGUCCGCGGAUGCGGACGGCGAGCGGGCAGUCGGGAGAGAUGCGCGGCGCGAAGUUGGUGCGGGCGUCGGUGCCGCGGAGGAGGCGGGCGGCCUCGUCGUAGGCCUUGGCCGCGGCCUCGGCGGUCUCGAAGGUGCCGAGCCACAUGCGGAUCUUCUGCGUGGUGUCCUUGAUCUCCGCCACCCACCGGCCCGACGGGCGCUGCCGGACGCCGACGAACUUGCUGUGGUUGUUGCUGCCCUUCUUCCGGCCCCGUGGCUUGGACGGCUUGGCCUGAGCCGCCGCCUCUUGCUGCUGGUAGUAGUAGUAGCUGCUGCUGCUGCUGUAGUUCUCGAGCUGGAACACUGGUGGCUGCGCUUGGAAGUGGAGCUCCAUGUGAGCUUCCUUGGCUUUGAGCAGCUGGUUGGAGCGGUUGGAAAGGAGGAGGAAGACAGGUGUCGAUGCUUG